rnacentral:lncRNA from 1 species
GGGGGUUUUAUAGGGAGUGAAGGCGUUUGAUUGGCUGUGGAGAAACAGGAUGUGGACAGGGUGAGCUGCUAUUGGUGGGUAGGUGGGAUUUGCAGUGAGCAGGCUGUGUUAUUGGGCAGGUUUUGGUGGAGAUUGGUAGGUAGGUGGGAUUUCCGGUGAGCAGGCUGUGUUAUUGGGCAGGUUUUGGUGGAGAUUGGUAGGUAGGUGGGAUUUGCAGUGAGCAGGCUGUGUUAUUGGGCAGGUUUUGGUGGAGAUUGGUAGGUAGGUGGGACUUCCGGUGAGCAGGCUGUGUUAUUGGGCAGGUUUGGCAGGGAUUGGUAGGUAGGUGGGAUUUCCGGUGAGCAGGCUGUGUUAUUGGGCAGGUUUGGCGGGGAUUGGUAGGUAGGUGGGAUUUCCGGUGAGCAGGCUGUGUUAUUGGGCAGGUUUUGGAGGGGUUUUCCAAAGGUGGGCUAGGUGCCGAGUGCAGAGCUUGAUGUCGAGCACGGAGUGGUGAUGUAGUUUUCAGGCGGAGAGGGGUGGGGGUGUCCGAGCUGCACGCGAGGCAACCGGCCUUACACCCCUUAUCUCUCUUCUCGCCGUCUUAGUCGGUUCCGGAUGCGAUAACAAAAAUCCUAGCCCGAAUCCCGAUCAUGAAGACUCUACUCGCGACCUGAUCCCCUCCAGGCGCCUCCUCCUAGACCGUCGCUGUUUCAGCAGAAGUAUUUGGAGAGGACGCAAAAGUUCAUGGAAUAACGUUUCUGUUCUUGCCUGCAGAGGAGUCUCUACACGCUGCCAUGGGAGAUCUUUGGCUUUCGCAGGCUGA